GAUCAUUUGCCAUGGGGGUUCCUCUCCUGCUUUCAAGGGUUCCACGUUGUCUCUAUUAUGACCAUAAUUGAUCUUAGCCCGGUCACUUAAGGACUCACUGAGGUGACCAUUCUUCAAUAGUGUUGCCACUUCUUCUAGAAGGUGUCAACAGUCCCCUAUCAGCUAGCCAUUCGUCCCAUGGUGUUCACACCAUAAGUUGGGAUCCUCUAGCUGGGAUCAAAACUCAUUGGCAUUGGGAAUUGUGCCUCUUUAUGUUUCCCAUUGCUGACACUAAUUCCAUUAUGCUGACGUUGAAGUUGUAUUCUAAAAACUUAGGUAAGAGAGAUCUCAUGAACCCCAAGUUUAUUUAUCAUAUAAUGGUCUAUUGUUUCGACCACAAUUGGUCCUUCUAUCAAUGGUGAACUUGUUUGUUGUCCGAAAGCCUCUGCCACAGCCUUCGAUCCCCUUGUAUGGAAAAAAUGGUGCCUCGAAGUUUGUCUACCCGUGUCGUAACAUCUUUUGAUUUUUCUCUGAUCUUCUCUCGUCCUUUGGUCGGCGAUAGAAAGUCAACCUGAUCAUUCUUGAUCCUUAUUUUUGACUCGUACCGGUUGUGUACAUUCGCCAAAUUCGAUGCUAGAAACUCAAGCAAGAUUUCCUUUAGUUUCGGGAAGCGUCUGAACUUCUCGAAUUCAAUCCUUUGUGAAUGCUUCG
rnacentral:lncRNA from 1 species